GUAGGGAAUAUUGCGCAAUGGACGAAAGUCUGACGCAGCGACGCCGCGUGAGUGAUGAAGGCCUUAGGGUCAUAAAGCUCUGUUGAAUGGGAAGAAAAAAAUGACGGUACCAUUCGAGGAAGGACCGGCUAACUUCGUGCCAGCAGCCGCGGUAAUACGAGGGGUCCUAGCGUUGUUCGGAAUCAUUGGGCGUAAAGGGUGUGUAGGUGGCCAUGUAAGUCAGGAGUGAAAGCCCCGGGCUCAACCCGGGAAGUGCACUUGAUACUGCGUGGCUUGAGUACCGAAGAGGGUAGUGGAAUUCCAGGUGUAGUGGUGAAAUACGUAGAUAUCUGGAGGAACACCGGUGGCGAAGGCGGCUACCUGGUCGAGUACUGACACUGAGACACGAAAGCAUGGGGAUCAAACAGGAUUAGAUACCCCGGUAGUCC
rnacentral:rRNA from 1 species